GACGAACGCUGGCGGCGUGCUUAACACAUGCAAGUCGAACGGAAAGGCCCUGCUUUUGUGGGGUUCUCGAGUGGCGAACGGGUGAGUAACACGUGAGUAACCUGCCCUUGGAUGUGGGAUAACUUCAGGUGACUGGGGCUAAUACCGGAUAGGAGCUCCUGCUGCAUGGUGGGGGUUGGAAAGUUUCGGCGGUUGGGGAUGGACUCGCGGCUUAUCAGCUUGUUGGUGGGGUAGUGGCGUACCACGGCUUUGCCGGGUAGCCGGCCUGAGAGGGUGGCCGCCCACAUUAGUACUAAGAUACGGCCCAGAGUCCUACGGGAGGCAGCAGUGGGAAAUAUUGCACAAUGGGCGGACGCCUGAGGCAGCAACGCCGCGUGCGUGAAGACGGCCUUCGGGUUGUGAACCGCUUUCGCCUGUGACGAAGCCUGAGUGACGGUAAUGGGUAAAGAAGCACCGGCUAACUACGUG
rnacentral:rRNA from 1 species